AUGGUUUCUCUCCCGCUCACCAAAUUGGCAGAGGUUUAUAAGGGAGUGGUCGGGAAACGUAUGGUCGCCGUGAAGAGGCUGUCAAAGACGUUUGCUCUUCACGAGAACAAAUUCCAGGAAGAGGUCAAAUGCCUAAUAAAGGCCAGGCACAAGAACAUUGUACGGUUUCUGGGAUAUUGCACUGACACGCAGGGUAAAAUGGAAGAGUUUGAGGGGAAUCUUGUCAUGGCAGAUCAACGCAACUGGUUGCUCUGUUUUGAGUAUGUAUGCAACGGGACUCUCGACAAGCACAUUACUGCUGCAACUUGUGGACUUAAUUGGAGGGAGCGCUAUCAAAUAAUCAGGGGGAUAUGUGAGGGGUUACUUUUUCUGCACAAGAAGAGAAUUCUUCACUCGGACCUGAUGCCUGCUAAUAUAUUGCUAGAUGGUCACUGGUACCCAAAAUUGCUGAUUUUGGUCCAUCGAGGUGCCUCGGUGAAGAGCAAACCCGUUAUAUUACUCAAAACCUAUGGGGAACACUGGGAUACGUGGAUCCAGAAUAUAUCAGAUCAAAGACAAAUCUCAUUCUCGUCAGACAUAUAUAGUCUUGGCGUAAUAAUAAUGGAGAUAGUGGCAGGAGUUAGUUGCUAUCGCGAAGAUGAGGAUGUAGUUCAAAGUUGGAUGAUUCGAGAGGCAUUAGAGGGCAACAUACAGUUGGAACAAGUAAGUGUAUGCUGCAAGAUAGCGGUAGAGUGCAUGGACUUGGACCCAAAGAAGAGACCAGUUACACAACACAUAGUUCACAGGCUUGAUAAAAUGGCAAGUGCAGACUGUUCACACAAAACUAGCAUUGGCAGUUCAUUGUUUGAGCCACGGGUAAGUUGUCCAAGGGAGGAACAACCUGGAGAAAUAAUUGGAUAA
rnacentral:rRNA from 1 species